UACGGAGGGGGCGAGCGUUAUUCGGAAUUACUGGGCGUAAAGGGCGUGUAGGCGGCCUAGCAGGUCAGAUGUGAAAUCCCCGGGCUUAACUCGGGAACUGCGUUUGAAACCGUUGGGCUUGAGGCUGGAAGAGGAAAGCGGAAUUCCUGGUGUAGCGGUGAAAUGCGUAGAUAUCAGGAGGAACACCGGUGGCGAAAGCGGCUUUCUGGGCCAGUUCUGACGCUGAUGCGCGAAAGCGUGGGUAGCAAACGGGAUUAGAUACCCUAGUAGUCC
rnacentral:rRNA from 1 species